AAUACGGGGGGGGCAAGCGUUGUUCGGAAUUACUGGGCGUAAAGGGCUCGUAGGCGGCCAACUAAGUCAGACGUGAAAUCCCCAGGCUCAACCUGGGAACUGCGUCUGAUACUGGAUGGCUUGAAUCCGGGAGAGGGAUGCGGAAUUCCAGGUGUAGCGGUGAAAUGCGUAGAUAUCUGGAGGAACACCGGUGGCGAAGGCGGCAUCCUGGACCGGUAUUGACGCUGAGGAGCGAAAGCCAGGGGAGCAAACGG
rnacentral:rRNA from 1 species